GCAGGAUGCCGCGCCUUGACUUUCAGCUACGGGUUGACGAAGUACAUGGCGUUUUAAAUCCAUUGAAAAAUACAGGCGAUUUUAAACGUACCAUGCCUCUGUGUCAUUUGGUGCUGUAAGCAGGUGCUGUAGGGCAUCCACCUGACAUGUGAUGUAAUGGCAGAGUCUCUAGAUGCCAUCCAAGCUCAGCUGUCAAUAUUGCAGGACCCUCAAAGGAGUACUGUACACAAGCUUAUUGCCUUAGAAGAGCUGUGUGAUAGCUACAAGGAUGGCUUCAGCACUGAUGCCCUUGAGCUCAUUUUUGCCUCCUUGUCUUCCAUUAAAGUCAUCCAACGCAACAAGCUGCUGGACUGCUGCCUGCCGGCUGACGGUGUCUCGGCCCGGACCAUCGACCUGGCUGUGGCGCUGCUG